UUCCGCUGGACUCCAUAUGUCACCCCGAGUGUGCCUGGAUACAGCUGCAGAUUUAGAUAACCUCUCCUCCCCUCCUGACCUUUAUUAUGACUGCGAAACUUCUGCGUGGGAGAGAUAAAUAAUUCAUGCCCUCGGCCAAGAAAGGAAAGAAGACCCAAGGAAAGAUUGCAGAAUACAGGUAAAGGUUAAAGGCUGCUGAAACUCCCAGAACAAUGGUUGCAUGCAGUGGUGUUCCAUUAAUGCUGAUUCCUUGUCGCCUCCUCUUAUGGGUCGUCAAGCUCCUCGGCAGGUGGGAGCUUGUUUGUUCCCUGGGAUCUCCCAGUGCUCAGCAGUGGUGCUGGUUCCUGAGCUCGCUGUCAAGGCCUGAGAAGGUGUGGACCAGUCUGUAAAGGGAUGCUGUAGACCCCCAAGGCAGAAAAGGGACAAGAGGGCAACCUUGACCCCAGAAGCAUGUGAAGAGGGAGUCAGCAAACUGGAGGGUGUGGCCCUUACCCAGAUUCAUGGGCUGGAGGGAAGUGACCAAGUGGACCAAGUGGACUGAUGGGGAAGGCCUGGUUGAAACUCAGCAAAUAGAUGACUCUGGAAAGAUCUGAGUACCCAGUUCCCCUGACAUGCUGUCUAGACCUGAGGGCCAACCACUGAGCCUGUGUGCUUGUGAACUAAGGAUAUGGUAUCCUUGACCCCUAUAGUGAUCUCGGCCAAUACCAGCAUGGCCUGGACCUGCUGAAGACCAUUUGUCAACAGUGACUCCUGCUGGUGAGGAGGAGCAUUGCACACAUAGCCCGAGGAGACUUCCCUGAUUCUCAAAACAGAUGUGACUCUUGAAGCCCUGGAGUUCUUGGACAAGAGGUGAAGCCAUGAGAAAUACAUUAACACUGAGAAAGAGGGAGAUCUUGGAUUUAUACCUAUUAGUAGAAAAGUCUUGAAUGAUUCAUUUAAAAGCAAAAAAAAGAUGGGGGCUACCAUUCAUCAUACCCCCCAAUGAGUGAAAUUUCUUAUACCAGUUACAAAACUUGAACAGUGCACAACACUUGGCACGUAAUUGGACUUUGGUGCAUGCUUUUUAAAUGAAGGGGAUGGGUGGCUGGAUGAGGAGAUGAAAAUAAGGCUCAUUUAACAGCAUAUUGGGAUAAAAACUGCACAGACUCAUUCAAUUUAUUCCUCAUAAAUGGUAAACAUUGCUGUCGUCCUUCUUUCUACACAGGAAUCGUUCAAGGGCCCAUCUCCUGGAGCAAAUGGUGAAAAUCGUAAUUUGAACUCAGAAUAGAUUCCCAAACCCAUGGAGGUUCCACUCAUGUUGUAGUUGAGGGAGGAGUCCUAGGAUUGGUGAAAGGGAUUUAAUUGAAGUAAAGUUGAGCAAAGCCUUCACAAAAGGACACCUUCUGGUUUUCUCUUGAGAAUUCUGAUCUAGAGUGAGGACCGUGGUCUGAGAGUCCCAGCAGAGCCACCUUCAACAAUGCUUGUGUGGGCCAUUACUUACAACCAUGCCCUACUGGAUAUAGGAAGGGAGAUGGGAAUAGAGGUUAGUCAAAGACAUAAAUUGAGAGACAGAAAAACAAAUAGCAAGGUGGGCAAAGAGGCCAGGGAAAGAGAUCACGUCAAUAAAACCGAUGCAUUGAGAUUAUUCAACUGAAAGACACAAGUGGGUGGUUUUGCAAGGAUUCCUGACAAAAUCACAUGAGGUUAAUUAUUUCGACCCCCAUUUCCUGCUAUCACACUUGACUGAGGGCAUCCUGGACUGGAAACGACACCAGUGCCCUCAAUAAUGCAUGUGCAGCAACUAAUGAUCUCUCUGGAGUGUAGCUCAAGUUCCUGGAGUACAACUGAAACUCUAGAAGCAAAUUGGCUUUGCAGUAAUGACUCCAACAUAAUUGCUAGUGGUUUCUGGUCCAUUUUGUCAAGAAACACAAAGCAUGCAAUUAUUAAGUUUUUUUUAAGAGCUAUGGCUCAUCUUGGAAUAUUAGUAAAUAUGUGACUGUCGGGAACUCAUUUGUGCAGAAGCGUCACUUACACUAAGCCCCAGGAGGGUGGAGACCCUGAUUGCUUCACGCAGGUUGUUCCCAAGACCUGGCUCAUGGGCGAAAACCAGUAAAUAUUUGAAUAAACUGUGCUCUGAAACCGCGUUUCUUUGAAUACCUGGAAGUAUCACACAUAGGUAACUAACUACCAGUCUUGGGGACACUUUUGGAAAAUCAAGAAGCAGCCUAGUUGGUUUUCAGUUUCAUUCAUUUAUCACAUAUUGAUUGGGCCUCUCCCCUGUGUUAGGAGCUGGGUUUGUUGAGCAGGUCUCGCGGUGACUGGUGCAGGACGUUGGAAGGAGGGUAAAUUUUACUCUGACCAGGAAGACAGGAAUGCUUUCCCACAUGGCUCCCAUUUCCGGUUCAGGCAAACAGGCCACUCAUACCUUUUCCACUUCCUCAACUGCACAUAUCCCUGCUUAGCAGAGGUUCCCCCAUGUACAAAUUUCUGGGACCUGGAAAAAUCACCCACCCGCCAUUGCCUAAUGCUCACAGGUCCAUCAAAACCAUGAACCUAGGAAUUCACUUCUGAGCCCGUCGGGUAUCUGGACUGUGGGAGGAGGAUUGCAGCCUGAAGGGCUAUUGUGCCUCAAGAUAAAUAGCUGAGUAUCAGCUGCACCAGGGAGCACUGGAUAACUGUUUCUUAUGGAAAUAAAUAAAUAAAUAAGAUUUCUUUA